GCUGGGUACGGAGGCGCAUGCCUGUAAUCCCAACACCUUGGGAGGCAGAGGUGGGUGGAUCACUUGAGGUCAGGAGUUCAAGACCAGUCUGACCAACAUGGUGAAAACCCAUCUCUA
ensembl:misc_RNA Metazoa_SRP Metazoan signal recognition particle RNA